rnacentral:lncRNA from 1 species
CAUAGCUCACUCCAUCUAUAUAUCAUUAUCCUACAUACCCUCUCACACACCCCAUAUAACAAAUAUAUCUGCCCUCACAUUAACAGACUCCACAAUUCUUCUACAACGUGCCUUGAACCCCUAACAGAAUAAUAUACGCAACUUGCCCACACCAAGUUCUCCACCAUCACCUACACAUACUACAACAAUAUACCAACUACCAGAAGACUCCUUUCACCGAAUUUCACCAUUACAACAUUUAUUUUCUCUUUAUUUUGAACACAACAUCUCUUUCACUUACAUAAGUACAUACUCACUGCAUUCACCAUGAACGGAUAAGAUUGAGAAUUAACACCAUUAACGGUCAAAUAACAACACCCAAAACUUCCUUCUCCCAUUUUACAAGACAUUAGUCACACCCACAAGCACCAAAAUUUUACUCCAUUUUUUAUAUCCAUCUACACUCUAAUUUCCUUCGACAUAAUCCUCCAUUGAUAACCAUCAACAGUCAAUAAUUUCAUGCUAUCAACAACUCUAUUCACUCUGACCACUACGCAAAAACACGCCCUCCAUCGAUAAUUAGUUACCACCACACAUCUUCGGGAAAUCUCACAACACCAUCACCAUCGAUCCAACCCUCAUACUAAAUAACAAAACUAAAUCACCACAGCCUUCUCAAUUCUAUCAAACCCGAGUUGGGAGAAAGGGUCACGAUUUAAAUAGGGUUCAAGGUAUUGGUUGGAGAUUAUUUUUUGGUUUUGGGUCUAGCAUUCGCGUCUUGCAUUAACGUUCUGUCGUUCAAAGACCUCUGAUCUCUGUUGAACAAAAUUGAAAUAUAAUUAAUGGUCCUAUCCUUUUUCCAUUUUUCUCUAUUUGGUUUAUGAUUUCAAACUCUAUGUUGUGAUUAUUUAUUCGGGUUUUGUUUAUUUUUGUUUUCUUAUUGUUUAAAUUAAUUGUUCGUUGAUCAGGAUUGCUUAUGAAUUAUUGAUUUUGAACAAUAUGAAAUUGGUAUAAAUUAUAUUUGGAGGCAAUUAUUCAAUUUUGGAGAAGGGAUUGGAAACUGAUAAACUUGAAAUUGAGGGUGGGGAUUUUGAAUUGAUAAUUUGGUUAGGAAUUGGUUGUUUAAUUUACUCUUGCAAUUAAUUGAAUCUUUUUAGCAAUUGUUAGUAGUAUGUUUAGAUCGCCGAUUUGGAUAGGCAAAUUUUAGAAUUUUAUAAUUGUUGAAUGUUUAAAUUUUUUGUUUGCACGAUUUUUUUAUCACACUUAAUUCAAAUGUAUUUAUUUUACCGGGGAAUGCUGCGAAGUAUCUUGUACCUAGUGGUCAUUCAAGAGAAGACGAUGAGUAUCGGGUAAAGCGUAGUUUAGGUUAGUUAGAAUAGCAUAUUUUUAUUUUCGUACUUUUUGAAAUCUUGAACUAUACAAUUGGACUGAAUUUUAUUUUCGUUUUGAACUCAUCAUCUGAUUUUCUAUUUUUGUGUGUUUUACGAGUUUAUUCAUUUAUAGUGUCAAUUUAAAUUAUAUGAAUUAAUGGAGUGACCGUAUUAAAAUCACAGGAUCGAUGGG